AGUGUUUGGAGCUAGCCCCAGAGAGAGUGAAGCCAUGCUUUCCCGUCUGGGGCUGUCUCCUUAG
rnacentral:miRNA from 1 species